CCUACGGGUGGCAGCAGUGGGGAAUAUUGCACAAUGGGCGCAAGCCUGAUGCAGCCAUGCCGCGUGUGUGAAGAAGGCCUUCGGGUUGUAAAGCACUUUCAGCGGGGAGGAAGGCGUUAAGGUUAAUAAUCUUGUCGGUUGACGUUACCCGCAGAAGAAGCACCGGCUAGCUCCGUGCCAGCAGCCGCGGUAAUACGGAGGGUGCAAGCGUUAAUCGGAAUUACUGGGCGUAAAGCGCACGCAGGCGGUCUGUCAAGUCGGAUGUGAAAUCCCCGGGCUCAACCUGGGAACUGCAUUCGAAACUGGCAGGCUAGAGUCUUGUAGAGGGGGGUAGAAUUCCAGGUGUAGCGGUGAAAUGCGUAGAGAUCUGGAGGAAUACCGGUGGCGAAGGCGGCCCCCUGGACAAAGACUGACGCUCAGGUGCGAAAGCGUGGGGAGCAAACAGGAUUAGAUACCCCUGUAGUC
rnacentral:rRNA from 1 species